GACGAACGCUGGCGGCGUGCCUAAUACAUGCAAGUUGAGCGCUGAAGGUUGGUACUUGUACCCACUGGAUGAGCAGCGAACGGGUGAGUAACGCGUGGGGAAUCUGCCUUUGAGCGGGGGACAACAUUUGGAAACGAAUGCUAAUACCGCAUAAAAACUUUAAACACAAGUUUUAAGUUUGAAAGAUGCAAUUGCAUCACUCAAAGAUGAUCCCGCGUUGUAUUAGCUAGUUGGUGAGGUAAAGGCUCACCAAGGCGAUGAUACAUAGCCGACCUGAGAGGGUGAUCGGCCACAAUGGGACUGGGACACGGCCCAAACUCCUACGGGAGGCAGCAGGAGGGGAACUUCGGCAAUGGACGAAAGUCUGACCGAGCAACGCCGCGUGAGUGAAGAAGGUUUUCGGAUCGUAAAACUCUGUUGGUAGAGAAGAACGUUGGUGAGAGUGGAAAGCUCAUCAAGUGACGGUAACUACCCAGAAAGGGACGGCUAACUACGUG
rnacentral:rRNA from 1 species